rnacentral:rRNA from 1 species
AGCGAACGCUGGCGGCAGGCCUAACACAUGCAAGUCGAACGAACUCUUCGGAGUUAGUGGCGGACGGGUGAGUAACACGUGGGAACGUGCCUUUUGGUUCGGAAUAACUCAGGGAAACUUGUGCUAAUACCGAAUGUGCCCUUCGGGGGAAAGAUUUAUCGCCAUUAGAGCGGCCCGCGUCUGAUUAGCUAGUUGGUGAGGUAACGGCUCACCAAGGCGACGAUCAGUAGCUGGUCUGAGAGGAUGACCAGCCACACUGGGACUGAGACACGGCCCAGACUCCUACGGGAGGCAGCAGGGGGGAAUCUUGCGGAAUGGGCGAAAGCCUGACGCCGCCAUGCCGCGUGAAUGAUGGAGGUCUUAGGAUUGUAAAAUUCUUUCACCGGGGACGAUAAUGACGGUACCCGGAGAAGAAGCCCCGGCUAACUUCGUG